CCCCGAGUCACACAGGUGGCCCUCUUCGUCUGCAUUUUUCCCCCUCCAGAGGUUGCCUAGGAGGUUUGUGUAAUUGCCUUGUGCUC
rnacentral:lncRNA from 1 species